rnacentral:rRNA from 1 species
AGAGUUUGAUCAUGGCUCAGGAUUAACGCUGGCGGCGUGCCUAACACAUGCAAGUCGAACGAGGUAGCAAUACCUAGUGGCAGACGGGUGAGUAACACGUGGUCAACCUACCGCUCGGUGGGGGGUAACUACCCGAAAGGGUAGCUAAUACCGCAUACGUCUUGGCCGGCAUCGGCCGACGAUGAAAGAAGCAAUUCGCCGAGUGACGGGACCGCGUCCCAUUAGCUAGUUGGUGAGGUAACGGCCCACCAAGGCACCGAUGGGUAGCUGGUUUGAGAGAGCGACCAGCCACACUGGAACUGAGAUACGGUCCAGACUCCUACGGGAGGCAGCAGUGAGGAAUUUUCCGCAAUGGGCGAAAGCCUGACGGAGCGACGCCGCGUGUGGGAAGAAGGCCCUCGGGUCGUAAACCACUGUCGAAGGGGAAGAUAUUGACGGUACCCUUGGAGGAAGCCCCGGCUAACUACGUGCCAGCCGCCGCGGUAAUAC